CUCCUGCCUCAGCCUCCCAAGUAGCUGGGAUUACAGGCAUGCACCACCAUGCCUACCUAAUUUUGUAUUUUUAGUAGAGACGGGGUUUCUCCAUGUUGGUCAGGCUGGUCUCAAACUCCCAACCUCAGGUGAUCUGCCUGCCUUGGCCUCCCAAAGUGCUGGGAUUACCAGGCAUGAGCCACCGUGCCCGGCCCAUAAAGAAUUUUCAAAAUUCAAUAAUAGUAAAACAAACAACAUUAAUUAACAAAUAGGCAAAAGAUCUGAACAGAAGCUUCAGCAAAUAAGAUAUAUGGAUGGCAAAUAAGCAUAUGAAAAGAUGCUCAACGUCACUGGUCAUUAGGGAAAUGUUAAUUAAAACCACCUUUGAGAAAGACUAAGGUUUUAUCCAUAACUAGAAAAAAACUGGAAAAAAACCCAAAUGUUCAUCAAAAGGUUAAUGAAUAUCAAAAUGUGGCUGAUCUAUACCACAGGAAUAAUAUUCAGCAGCAAAAAUACAUUAUUGAUACAUGGAAUACAUUAUUGAUAUGCAAAAAUAUGGAUGGAUCUCAGACUAAUUAUUUUGAGGCUGGGUGCGGUAGCUUACUCCUAUAAUCCCAGCACUUCGGGAGGCCGAGGUGGGUGGAUCACUUGAAGCCAGGAGUUCGAGACCAGCCUUGCCAAAAU
rnacentral:lncRNA from 10 species